rnacentral:rRNA from 1 species
GAUGAACGCUGGCGGCGUGCCUAAUACAUGCAAGUCGAGCGAACAGACGAGGAGCUUGCUCCUCUGACGUUAGCGGCGGACGGGUGAGUAACACGUGGAUAACCUACCUAUAAGACUGGGAUAACUUCGGGAAACCGGAGCUAAUACCGGAUAAUAUAUUGAACCGCAUGGUUCAAUAGUUAAAGACGGUUUUGCUGUCACUUCUAGAUGGAUCCGCGCCGCAUUAGCUAGUUGGUAAGGUAACGGCUUACCAAGGCAACGAUGCGUAGCCGACCUGAGAGGGUGAUCGGCCACACUGGAACUGAGACACGGUCCAGACUCCUACGGGAGGCAGAAGUAGGGAAUCUUCCGAAAUGGGCGAAAGACUGAAGGAGCAACGCCGCGUGAGUGAUGAAGGUCUUCGGAUCGUAAAACUCUGUUAUUAGGGAAGAACAAAUGUGUAAGUAACUAUGCACGUCUUGACGGUACCUAAUCAGAAAGCCACGGCUAACUACGUG